rnacentral:tRNA from 1 species
AGGCUUUAAGUUAAACCAAACUAAUAGCCUUCAAAGCUAUAAAUAUAGGAAUUCCUUUAAAGCCUU